rnacentral:rRNA from 2 species
CAGAACUAAUGGAGAAGUCUGACGGAGCACGCCGCGUGAGUGAAGAAGGCCUUCGGGUCGUAAAACUCUGUUGCCGGGGAAGAACAAGUGCCGUUCGAACAGGGCGGCGCCUUGACGGUACCCGGCCAGAAAGCCACGGCUAACUACGUGCCAGCAGCCGCGGUAAUACGUAGGUGGCAAGCGUUGUCCGGAAUUAUUGGGCGUAAAGCGCGCGCAGGCGGCUUCUUAAGUCUGAUGUGAAAUCUUGCGGCUCAACCGCAAGCGGUCAUUGGAAACUGGGAGGCUUGAGUGCAAAAAAGGAGAGUGGAAUUCCACGUGUAGCGGUGAAAUGCGUAAAGAUGUGGAGGAACACCAGUGGCGAAGGCGGCUCUCUGGUCUGUAACUGACGCUGAGGCGCGAAAGCGUGGGGAGCAAACAGGAUUAAAUACCCUGGUAGUCCACGCCGUAAACGAUGAGUGCUAAGUGUUAAAGGGUUUCCGCCCUUUAGUGCUGCAGCUAACGCAUUAAGCACUCCGCCUGGGGAGUACGGCCGCAAGGCUGAAACUCAGAAAUUUUUGCGGG